AUUGAACGCUGGCGGCAGGCCUAACACAUGCAAGUCGAGCGAGCGGCGGACGGGUUAGUUAUGUCUGGGAAACUUCCUGAUGUAGGGGGAUAACUACUGGAAACGGUAGCUAAUACCGCAUACCAUCAGAUGUGCCCAGAUGGGAUUAGCUAGUAGGUGGGGUAAUGGCUCACCUAGGCGACGACCCCUAGCUGGUCUGAGAGGAUGACCAGCCACACGGGAACUGAGACAAGGUCCAGACUCCUACGGGAGGCAGCAGUGGGGAAGAUUGCACAAUGGGCGCAAGCAUGAUGCAGCCAUGCCGCGUGUGUGAAGAAGGCCUUCGGGUUGUAAAGCACUUUCAGCGAGGAGGCGUUACUCGCAGAAGAAGCACCGGCUAACUCCGUGCCAGCCGCCGCGGUAAUUC
rnacentral:rRNA from 1 species